UACACACCAUUAUCAAUUGAAACUUAUCAGAUAAAGGAGCUGCAUCCAAGUUCAAUAAUUGAACUUUUCAAUAGAUUUACUCUUAAGAUUCAACUGUAUAUAGCUGUUUCACUAGGAGCAAGACCAGAAUACAUAUUAAGAAAUUUAGAGGACUUGAAAUCCUAAUA